rnacentral:misc_RNA from 1 species
GAAGUGUGGAUGGAUGAAUAUAAACAGUUUUACUAUGCAGCAGUGCCUUCUGCUAGAAAUGUGCCAUUUGGGAAUUUACGAGGGAGGGUAGAACUUCGAGAAAAAUUAAAAUGCAAACCAUUUAAAUGGUACCUGGAUAAUGUAUAUCCAGAACUAAGGAUGGGUAAAACUGGAUCUUAUUCUAAACAGUUUCAAAAACAAAUAGCGUACUUCGAGGAGCAUAUGGCUGAAGGCGAAGAUCCACAACGAUAACAUUUGUAUAUAGUGUAUAGUGUAUAUAGAAUAUAGAGGGCAGGGUACCAGAUAAGCAAGAUAUAGCAUUUGGGAGCAUUCAACAGGCUAGUCAAUGUAUGGACACUUUAGGGCAUUUUCUAGACGGGGUUGUGGGAUUAUAUACAUGUCAUAACACAGGGGGAAAUCAGGAAUGGGCAUUAUCAAAGAAUAACCAGAUAAAGCAUUCAGACUUGUGCAUUGCUCUCUCUAACCACGUGGUGGGAUCUCCAGUAAAACUUCAUCAAUGUGACUCAAUUAAUAGAAACCAAAAAUGGAAGCAUAUAAAAAGAGACCAUAUAUUUAAAUCCAUGGACUAUGGACUGUGCUUAGACAGUAAACAUCAAAGGACUAAAGGUAUCACAGUAGAGGAAUGUGACCCAUCAUCACCUAGUCAAGUUUGGAGAUUUGCCUUGUCUAUGUAGGUCAUAGGUCAAGGCGUUUAAUUGUCUAUAUUGGUCAAAUAUGAAGAUUUGUAUUGUACAUGUAUAGGAAGGAAAUGAGUUGGCAUUGUAGGUGAAUGAAUUGACCAUAAAGGUCAAUGUUUUUUCUAUAUUUAGGCCUAUGCGUUAUUUACGUAGGUUUAUUUCUAUGUAGGUCAAUUCAUCUACAAUGUAGGUCAAUAUAUUGACCAUGUCAGUCAAUUUAUUGUCUUAAUAUAGGUCAAUUUAUUGUCUAUGUAGGUCAAU